rnacentral:rRNA from 1 species
UUAAGCGACUAAGCGUACACGGUGGAUGCCCUGGCAGUCAGAGGCGAUGAAGGACGUGCUAAUCUGCGAUAAGCGUCGGUGAGGUGAUAUGAACCGUUAUAACCGGCGAUUUCCGAAUGGGGAAACCCAGUGUGUUUCGACACACUAUCAUUAACUGAAUCCAUAGGUUAAUGAGGCGAACCGGGGGAACUGAAACAUCUAAGUACCCCGAGGAAAAGAAAUCAACCGAGAUUCCCCCAGUAGCGGCGAGCGAACGGGGAGGAGCCCAGAGCCUGAAUCAGUGUGUGUGUUAGUGGAAGCGUCUGGAAAGGCGCGCGAUACAGGGUGACAGCCCCGUACACAAAAAUGCACAUAUUGUGAGCUCGAUGAGUAGGGCGGGACACGUGGUAUCCUGUCUGAAUAUGGGGGGACCAUCCUCCAAGGCUAAAUACUCCUGACUGACCGAUAGUGAACCAGUACCGUGAGGGAAAGGCGAAAAGAACCCCGGCGAGGGGAGUGAAAAAGAACCUGAAACCGUGUACGUACAAGCAGUGGGAGCCUCUUAAUGGGGUGACUGCGUACCUUUUGUAUAAUGGGUCAGCGACUUAUAUUCUGUAGCAAGGUUAACCGAAUAGGGGAGCCGAAGGGAAACCGAGUCUUAACUGGGCGUUAAGUUGCAGGGUAUAGACCCGAAACCCGGUGAUCUAGCCAUGGGCAGGUUGAAGGUUGGGUAACACUAACUGGAGGACCGAACCGACUAAUGUUGAAAAAUUAGCGGAUGACUUGUGGCUGGGGGUGAAAGGCCAAUCAAACCGGGAGAUAGCUGGUUCUCCCCGAAAGCUAUUUAGGUAGCGCCCUCGUGAAUUCAUCUCCGGGGGUAGAGCACUGUUUCGGCAAGGGGGUCAUCCCGACUUACCAACCCGAUGCAAACUGCGAAUACCGGAGAAUGUUAUCACGGGAGACACACGGCGGGUGCUAACGUCCGUCGUGAAGAGGGAAACAACCCAGACCGCCAGCUAAGGUCCCAAAGUCAUGGUUAAGUGGGAAACGAUGUGGGAAGGCCCAGACAGCCAGGAUGUUGGCUUAGAAGCAGCCAUCAUUUAAAGAAAGCGUAAUAGCUCACUGGUCGAGUCGGCCUGCGCGGAAGAUGUAACGGGGCUAAACCAUGCACCGAAGCUGCGGCAGCGACACUAUGUGUUGUUGGGUAGGGGAGCGUUCUGUAAGCCUGUGAAGGUGGCCCUGUGAGGGUUGCUGGAGGUAUCAGAAGUGCGAAUGCUGACAUAAGUAACGAUAAAGCGGGUGAAAAGCCCGCUCGCCGGAAGACCAAGGGUUCCUGUCCAACGUUAAUCGGGGCAGGGUGAGUCGACCCCUAAGGCGAGGCCGAAAGGCGUAGUCGAUGGGAAACAGGUUAAUAUUCCUGUACUUGGUGUUACUGCGAAGGGGGGGACGGAGAAGGCUAUGUUGGCCGGGCGACGGUUGUCCCGGUUUAAGCGUGUAGGCUGGUUUUCCAGGCAAAUCCGGAAAACCAAGGCUGAGGCGUGAUGACGAGGCACUACGGUGCUGAAGCGACAAAUGCCCUGCUUCCAGGAAAAGCCUCUAAGCAUCAGGUAACAUCAAAUCGUACCCCAAACCGACACAGGUGGUCAGGUAGAGAAUACCAAGGCGCUUGAGAGAACUCGGGUGAAGGAACUAGGCAAAAUGGUGCCGUAACUUCGGGAGAAGGCACGCUGAUAUGUAGGUGAAGCGACUUGCUCGUGGAGCUGAAAUCAGUCGAAGAUACCAGCUGGCUGCAACUGUUUAUUAAAAACACAGCACUGUGCAAACACGAAAGUGGACGUAUACGGUGUGACGCCUGCCCGGUGCCGGAAGGUUAAUUGAUGGGGUUAGCGGUAACGCGAAGCUCUUGAUCGAAGCCCCGGUAAACGGCGGCCGUAACUAUAACGGUCCUAAGGUAGCGAAAUUCCUUGUCGGGUAAGUUCCGACCUGCACGAAUGGCGUAAUGAUGGCCAGGCUGUCUCCACCCGAGACUCAGUGAAAUUGAACUCGCUGUGAAGAUGCAGUGUACCCGCGGCAAGACGGAAAGACCCCGUGAACCUUUACUAUAGCUUGACACUGAACAUUGAGCCUUGAUGUGUAGGAUAGGUGGGAGGCUUUGAAGUGUGGACGCCAGUCUGCAUGGAGCCGACCUUGAAAUACCACCCUUUAAUGUUUGAUGUUCUAACGUGGGCCCCUAAUCGGGGUUGCGGACAGUGUCUGGUGGGUAGUUUGACUGGGGCGGUCUCCUCCUAAAGAGUAACGGAGGAGCACGAAGGUUGGCUAAUCCUGGUCGGACAUCAGGAGGUUAGUGCAAUGGCAUAAGCCAGCUUGACUGCGAGCGUGACGGCGCGAGCAGGUGCGAAAGCAGGUCAUAGUGAUCCGGUGGUUCUGAAUGGAAGGGCCAUCGCUCAACGGAUAAAAGGUACUCCGGGGAUAACAGGCUGAUACCGCCCAAGAGUUCAUAUCGACGGCGGUGUUUGGCACCUCGAUGUCGGCUCAUCACAUCCUGGGGCUGAAGUAGGUCCCAAGGGUAUGGCUGUUCGCCAUUUAAAGUGGUACGCGAGCUGGGUUUAGAACGUCGUGAGACAGUUCGGUCCCUAUCUGCCGUGGGCGCUGGAGAACUGAGGGGGGCUGCUCCUAGUACGAGAGGACCGGAGUGGACGCAUCACUGGUGUUCGGGUUGUCAUGCCAAUGGCACUGCCCGGUAGCUAAAUGCGGAAGAGAUAAGUGCUGAAAGCAUCUAAGCACGAAACUUGCCCCGAGAUGAGUUCUCCCUGAGACUUAGAGUCUCCUGAAGGAACGUUGAAGACGACGACGUUGAUAGGCCGGGUGUGUAAGCGCAGCGAUGCGUUGAGCUAACCGGUACUAAUGAACCGUGAGGCUUAACCUU